ACUGUAAACCAUUUAAGGAAAAUAUGUACUCUAAACCAAUAUAUUUUAUUUUCCCCACAGCUUAUUUUGAAUACUGUAAAAUUAUGUCCUCAAAUUCUUCUGUGGACUCAUGAUUGCUGUUCUUUAUGUUUCAUUUCCCUGAGAUACUAGAAAGGAUGAGAACAUUUCCAUGGAUGCAAUCCUGAGCCAUAAACUACCCUCAUUGAGGGGUGCCAUUCCCCACCCAACUGACUAUCUGAUAAGGUAGCAGUGGAAACAAUGGAAAUGUGUAGAAGAUUCUUCCAGCUCAUUUGCAACCAGUAAGUACUAAGCAGUAUUACACCUACUGUUCACAGAUUUCCAGUGACAUCAAAAAUGGUAGCAAUGACUAUCAACCUACCGAAUACACAGGGACCAAGAAAACAACUGUUGUCACCAUGACCAUUGAUCAACCCAGAAAAUGCCACCAAAAUGGCAGUAGAGGGUUAAGAAAUUAAUUCCUACUGCUUUAAACCCAAAUUCAAAAGUCUCUCUGGGACUUCCAACCUUUUGGGUUAAUCCCUAGACAGGUGGCAACUGUACUUAGAGUAAAUUAACCACCCCCUAAUUGUACCAAAAAAGAGCUUGCUAGUAAUUGACAGGAAGACAGCUAAAUAUGAUUAUGCCCAUUGGGAAUAUAAAAUCUGCAAAUAAUCCUUAGAGGUUAAGAGAAUAAUGACUUCUGUAAACAGAUUUUAAUUUAACAGAAAAUAUUUUAAAAUAAAGUUUCCGUAUAUGGUUUAGUAAGGAACUGAAACAAGCACCAUAAGCAGGUAAAUACGGAGAUAUUGUGAGAGAGAAUUAGAUGACGCAAGACUGGAUUUACUCAGAAGCUUUUUAACCUUAAUCCUGUAUGGAUAAAUUUCCAACCAAAUAAUAAAAAGCAAUUUCAUUUACGUGCUGCAGUCACAGGGUUUACACAAUGGGGCCCCUGAGUGCUCCAUUUCCACAUCUCCUCAAGGAGGAAACCUCUAUCAUUUGCUCAUUCUUUAGGAAGCAUGCUUUCCUCCAUGGGUGCAAAGACCCCCAGCAUAAAACCCAAACUUUUUUUCCCUCUUCUCACCAACCUCAGAAAGCAGUAACUUCACUGAACUGUAGAAGUUGGCCUUUCUGUCUUCUUUAUGAGCCAGAAAGGGUAUUUGGCUUAAAAGAUCAGAAAGCACAUAAAGCCAGUCUUUCUAAAGUAAUGUAAGCAAGACUUCUGAAAUAUACAUACUCAAAUAAGGUGCAAUUACAAGUAUACUAUAUAAUAUAUAUAUGAAGCAUAUCAAUAUCCUAUAUAUUCAUAUAUAAAAUGUAUGGAAGACUGCCUAAUGCACAGUAUGCUUUGUAAAUUCAGCAUCGAGGUUAUCUGCUGUGACUUACUAUCUUCAGAGACAAGGAGGCAGAUGGAAUUCUGGAACAUGGGUAAGAUAACACUCUUGUCAAAAAAAAAGUCCUUGUCCUCAAGCAAGCUAAUGAAGCAAGUGAUAAGCUACGGGUCAAAUUCCCACUUCUACAAUCAAAACUUAUCAUAGGAGCCCUUGAAAAGGGAGUGCAUCUGUCAUAUGUUAAUGACUUCAAGUCAUUCACUGAACUUCUAGGUGUACAGGAAAACUUAAAAGCACUUCACAACUCCUUGUGGGUAUAAUUAGCCUGUUGCAAUUGUUGGCAAUUCUCAUCCUGGGACUUUAAAAGGUCACUCCACUCUUUAAGAUACCAAAUUUGGAGUCACUCUCCCUUCUGGACAGAUUAAAGCAUGCCCUGCAAUUAGUAUACAGCUGCACCUGUUGCAAAGUUUCUUUCUUCAGUGGUGUAAAUGGGGACAGUCAACAACAUUCUAAAUUCUUGAGGGAUUAUCAGACCUCGGAAACCAGGCGAUGAACAAAUCUGAUGUCUGCUGUUGAGGUGAUGGAUGGUGGUCACAGCCUAACCACAAGCAGAAGCCAUGAUCUUUGUUCUUUGUAUAUCCCAGCUGGCACAGAUGCCACAUUGACCUGACUCUCGAUCUGCUCAGAGGGCCUCAAAACAUCUCGUUUCUGCAGAGUUUAAAACUGCUGAAGUUGGGAAUAUCCUGAUUUUUAUACAUCAAGCAACUUUGGAUUGAAUUUGACCUCUUGCGUCUGGCCUACCAAGAAGAAAAUGAAUCACCAAGAUGAUGUUCUUUACCCAAAGAUUAGCUAAUCACCUCUGAAACCUUCCAAAGGAACUGGAGGCCUAAGAAGUUCAAGCCACGGAUUUAAAAUCACAGAGCUUGUAAAUCGGCAGAACCAGAGCCCCCUGAGAUCUGCCUUUCCUGCUCCUGCUGACUCUCUCCACUUCUUCACUUGCUCUCUGAUUUCCCACUCUGCCUACCACUGCUGGAUGAGGCCCUUCUUGACCAUAAGUGUUCAUGGCACUUUGUUUUCAUCUUUCACAUGGCUCAUAUACUUUUCUAUUAGUUAUUAAAGUGAUUUGAGUUCUUAUAUCAUUUCCAAGAAUCAAUAAUGAAUUCCUUGAGAAAUGGGACAAUAUUACAUACCGUUGUAUCAGUCUGGAGUGUUUUUAGAGUUUACCAAUACGGAAAUUUAAUUACCUCACAAAACAAGGAAUCUAGCUGAAAUGGUUCCAGAGUGUAGCCCUGUAACAAUUUCAUAAGGGGCCGACUCUAUUUUCUCUCCACCAUAUAUAGUGUAAUAGACGUUUUCUCAUGUUACGUCAUAGUUGCAAGAUGACUGUUGCAGAUCCUGACAUCUGAUUAUUGUUCAAGGUAAGAAAUGGUGGGAAGGGCAGCCCCACUAAGCCAUCUACUCAUGUCUUGUCCCUUAGAAGACAAGAAAACCUUCCCGGGAGCUCACUGAUUAACUUACUCUUACAUCCCAUUCUAGUAUUGGGUCCCUUUGUAGGUCUUCAAGUGUACAAACAUGACAAUUUCCACACAUUUCCUCCAGGGCUGUGACUUAUAACUGAAGAAUUUAAAGGCUCAUUUAAAGCUUUAAGGACAGCUGUAUGUGAUGCAAGUAGAGGACCAGAAAGCUGAGAGCAUCCAUGGAUACUGAACAGCUGUUGAGGAUCCCUGCUAAGGAGCUGCUCCCAUUUCCAUAUACCUAUUUAACAGCACCUGGAGUUUAAACUCAUGCCCCAGCAAAAUCACACACAGCAAGAUGGUACAGAUUUUUUGGAUUUGCUUGCAGCUAGUCAAACCCUCAAAUGAAACAUCUCUAAAUACCAACGGUCUGUUUUAACCUCUUUUGUGAUGAACAAGGUGGAUUGUGUAUGCUUCCUACUGAAUUAUUACCCCUUUUGUUCUUAAGAGAACAUCUUCGUUGAUGGCUGACUUGUAGACCCAAGCUUAUGCAGUUAUGGUUCCCUCAGGUGUUAACAAUAGGUAGAAUAAACUUUAAAGAUGUUUCAGGUGAAUAGCAUUUCACCCUGUGUCUUGGUACAAAUUGUGAGUCAAUUAUUUAUGAGUGGAGCCCAAUUUGUUUAAACCUCAUUGACCUGUAAUACAGUUAUGACAUGUGUCUUGACUUGAUUCUACCCUCUAUUGAUUUGGCCUGGAAAAGUAAAACAAGAGGUGAAAUGGCCCCUCAGGGUAAGUGAAAAUUGUAGGUUAUGGCCAUGUUAAAUUGCUUUCGUAUACUUUGUGUCCUUUAGAGUCAGAAAAUGAAGCAAUAAAGUAAGUUGAUGUAAGUAAUUCUUGUUUUUAAAAGGACCUUGAAGUGCUCUUAACAAUAUUAUGGAUUUGAUAAGAUCUGCUUCAGACUUCUUAAUUUAAAAUGAACAUAAAGAUGGUAAAGCUGAAGGAAUGUUGAAAUACCAGUGUUGUGUUAACAGCUUUGAAAUGGAAUUCAUGGGAAAGGACCAAUAUGAACUCUUCAGUAUUGUCUGCCAUACUUGGGGGGAAAUGAAAGCAGCAGUUACUGCCAGGAAUUUCCUGGGGGGCAUAUCCAGGUGUACAAAAUAUUUAGGAGGGUUUCAAAUGUUUUUUGCUCAUUGCUUACGUGUUAUCAAGUUCAGACAGUGUUUAAAACACUUUGACAAUUUUCAAGUUUUAAAUGUUCAUUUUUGUGACAGGCAAACCUAUUAAAUCUGAAUGUUCACAACUUUUUCCUCCCCGUCUCCCCUUUCUCCCUUCUCAUCUGUGAUUAUUGUACUAUUGAUGGGCUAAGAGAGAACUGAUGAGAGAGAGAAAAUAUUAAUUCACAUACGAAAAAAGAGAGCAUCAUUAGUUAGAAAAAGAAUAGAGUGCGUGGGGAGUGGAGAAAAAGGACAAGAGCCAACAUGGAGACAUGAGCUGUGUUUAGGGCAGACUAGUGUGACAUUUAGAGAGUGGGAGGAGAAAGAGUUGAGGUAAAGUUUACACAGAAAGCUGUAAAAAAAGCUGAUUUCAAAAGAGGUUAUUAGGUAUGAUGAAUAGUGUGCUUUGAGACAAUUAGAUAUUUAUUUAAAUCUCUCAAGGUAAGAACAAGCUGUUUUGGCUUUAUGCUCUUUUCUAUUAUUAUCCUUGAAGUUGUCAUCUCUUGUUUUUAAAGCCCCUUCUUUCCUACAUGCCGAUAAUAGCAGUUCUAUUGAUUAAUUAUCCAUGAAGGAAGUAUAGGACAAAGAGAAAGAUAGAGCUGGAUGAGAUGCGGUUAGAAGGUGAUCCAGAAGACAUGGAGCGUACAUGAGCUUGACCAGAACAGAAGGCUUUUGAGAUAAAGGAGCAAUUCUGAGGAGAAGGUGUCCUGAGAUAAAGGAGCAAUUCUGAGGAGAAGGUGUACUUCCUAGGACCUCAGUUACUGCUUAAACUUUGCUUCUUUGAUUUCAGUUUAUACUUCCGUAUAUUGGAUUACAGAAUGCCCUUUGUGCCGCUAAUAACCAGGAGGCUAGUUUGAGCUCUCUAGCGGUCUGGGUAACAUGAUACGCUAAUUCAGAAAUUCCAAAUUCUGAAAAGGAUAUGCAACCAUGUCGCUUAAGAGCCUCUGUGUUAAGUAUGCCUGAAUUAAGUAAGGGUUGUGAAAAGCCUUGCACGAGGUGGCACUACUGUUUUGGACCCAGGAUGAAUGGGACAAGUUUGAACCAAGAGAUCACCUAAUUCUUUUGCUUAGAAACUUCAAACUCCAUUGUUAUGGAAACAACGGUAAGAAGGAGUGGGAAGGAGUUAGUACCACUUCUGAAUCAGUCUUUCCAACUCUGUACUUUAAUAAAUCAUUCUAUGGGCUCCACUUCA